AGCAGUCGCCGCGGUAAUACGGAGGGUGCAAGCGUUAAUCGGAAUUACUGGGCGUAAAGCGCACGCAGGCGGUCUGACAAGUCAGAUGUGAAAUCCCCGGGCUUAACCUGGGAACUGCAUUUGAAACUGUCAGGCUGGAGUCUUGUAGAGGGGGGUAGAAUUCCAGGUGUAGCGGUGAAAUGCGUAGAGAUCUGGAGGAAUACCGGUGGCGAAGGCGGCCCCCUGGACAAAGACUGACGCUCAGGUGCGAAAGCGUGGGGAGCAAACAGGAUUAGAGACCCCUGUAGUCCCUGUCUCUUAUAC
rnacentral:rRNA from 1 species